GGCGGACGGGUGAGUAACACGUGGAUAACCUACCUAUAAGACUGGGAUAACUUCGGGAAACCGGAGCUAAUACCGGAUAACAUAUUGAACCGCAUGGUUCAAUAGUGAAAGGCGGCUUUGCUGUCACUUAUAGAUGGAUCCGCGCCGUAUUAGCUAGUUGGUAAGGUAACGGCUUACCAAGGCAACGAUACGUAGCCGACCUGAGAGGGUGAUCGGCCACACUGGAACUGAGACACGGUCCAGACUCCUACGGGAGGCAGCAGUAGGGAAUCUUCCGCAAUGGGCGAAAGCCUGACGGAGCAACGCCGCGUGAGUGAUGAAGGUCUUCGGAUCGUAAAACUCUGUUAUCAGGGAAGAACAAAUGUGUAAGUAACUGUGCACAUCUUGACGGUACCUGAUCAGAAAGCCACGGCUAACUACGUGCCAGCAGCCGCGGUAAUACGUAGGUGGCAAGCGUUAUCCGGAAUUAUUGGGCGUAAAGCGCGCGUAGGCGGUUUUUUAAGUCUGAUGUGAAAGCCCACGGCUCAACCGUGGAGGGUCAUUGGAAACUGGAAAACUUGAGUGCAGAAGAGGAAAGUGGAAUUCCAUGUGUAGCGGUGAAAUGCGCAGAGAUAUGGAGGAACACCAGUGGCGAAGGCGACUUUUCUGGUCUGUAACUGACGCUGAUGUGCGAAAGCGUGGGGAUCAAACAGGAUUAGAUACCCUGGUAGUCCACGCCGUAAACGAUGAGUGCUAAGUGUUAGGGGGGUUUCCGCCCCUUAGUGCUGCAGCUAACGCAUUAAGCACUCCGCCUGGGGAGUACGACCGCAAGGUUGAAACUCAAAGGAAUUGACGGGGACCCGCACAGGCGGUGGAGCAUGUGGUUUAAUUCGAAGCAACGCGAAGAACCUUACCAAAUCUUGACAUCCUUUGACCGCUCUAGAGAUAGAGUGUUCCCCUUCGGGGGACAAAAAGACAGGUGGUGCAUGGUGGUCGUCAGCUCGUGUCGUGAGAUGUUGGGUUAAGUCCCGCAACGAGCGCAACCCCUAAGCUUAGUUGCCAUCAUUAAGUUGGGCACUCUAAGUUGACUGCCGGUGACAAACCGGAGGAAGGUGGGGAGGACGUCAAAUCAUCAUGCCCCCUAUGAUUUGGGGUACACACCUGCUACAAUGGACAAUACAAAGGGCAGCUAAACCGCGAGGUCAAGCAAAUCCCAUAAAAUUGUUUUCACUUCGGAUUGUAGUCUGCAACUCGACUACAUGAAGCUGGAAUCGCUAGUAAUCGUAGAUCAGCCUGCUACGGUGAAUACGUUCCCGGGUGUUGUACACCCCGCCC
rnacentral:rRNA from 1 species